rnacentral:lncRNA from 1 species
GACCAAGCCCAGCCAAUGAGCCGAAACUCCAUCUCUACAAAAAACAAAACAAAAAAAAGUUAGCCAGGUAUGGUAUUGUGUACCUGUAAGUCCCAGCUACUCAGUAGGCUGAGGUGAGAGGAUCACCUGAGCCCAGGAGGCAGAGGUAGCAGUGAGCCGAGGUCAUGCCACUGCAUUCCUGCCCGGGCCACAGCAAGACCGUGUCUCAGGGAAAAAAAAAAAAAAAAAACUCUCCUUUUUUGGGGGGCACUGUAAUUGGGUACAUUUAAGUUUACUCAUUUUAUGUUUCUGGCAAAUUGUGCUAUUAGUGCCCAUACUUUUCCCCUAAUAACUAAUGUUCAUUAAUUUACUACAAAUGUGAGCUACUGACCUAGAAAUACCAUUUUCUCAACCUGUAAGGACAACCAGGAGCAACUUACUUUUUCUCAGCGUUACAUCAGUUAUACUGUUGCUUGCAAUAACAUCCAGCAGAUUCCAAGCAUCAAGGAGUCACGCUCUUGAGGAAAGGUGCGCCUUGUCCAGGAGCUCCAGAAGCCACCUGUGCAGAAAUUUCACCAGUCUCCAAGUCCUGCAGAGCAGUCACAUGGCACUCCAGACCCACCCUGCAAUCCACUGCCCCAAAAGUCACCAUGGGGUGAACACAGCUCAACAUUGGUGGAAGGUGUGGGUGCCUUAACGCAUUCAUUAACCAAUAACUGUGGGCUUUGCUCUAGAGACAGAACUAAAGCCCCCACCCUCUUCUACUCUGUUAGUGGAGCCUGCGGUUUUUAUGGGCACAGGAUGAGGGCGGGGCAGGCCAUGAGUGGUUUUGAAAAAGGCAACAUUUGAACUGGAAAAGAAGGAUGUGAAGUUAUCACUUUGGGCCAAUCUGAAAAGUUACGUACUGCACAAUUCCAACUCUAUGACAUUCUGAAAAAGGCGAAACUAUGGAGACAGUAAAAAGAUGAGUGGUUGUCGGGCUGGGGAGAGGGAGGGAGGAAUAGUGGGAGGACCGAUGAUCUGUGGACUUUGGGUGAUAAUGAAGUGGCAAUGCAGGUUCAUGAAUUCUAACAAAUGUAUUACUCUGGUGGAGUAUGUUGAUGAUGGUGGAAGCUAUGCAUAUGUAGUGGCCGCAGGAAUAUAGGAUGUCUUUGAACCUUCCACACUAUUUUGCUGUGAACCUAAAACUGCUCUGAAACAUGGAUUUUUUGUUUUGAGACAGCGUCUGACUCUGUCACCCAGGCUAGAGUGCAGUGGCACAAUCUCAGCUCACUGCAACCUCCUUCUGGGCUAAAAUGAUUCUCCUGCCUCAGCCUCCUGGGUAGCAGGGACUAUAGGCAUAAGCCACCAUGCCCAGCUAAGUUUUGUCUUUUUUGUAGAGGCGGGGUUUCACCAGGUUACCCAGGCUGGUCUUGAACUCCUGAGCUCAAGCAAUCCACUCACCUCAGCCUCUCAAAGUGCUGAGAUUACAGCUCUGAGCCACUGCACCAGGUGAACACGGAUAUUUUAAAAGAGUAAUAAAACAUUUUCAAUUGGUCAGAGUUUUCCAAUCUGAGAAGUCAACAUUAUUUAGCUGAACUACCACUCUCCAAAACCUCUUACACUAAUAGGAUUUCUCUCUACUGCAAAACCUUACUUAAGCAAUCCCUGAGAUAACAGCAAAGGGCUUUCCAUGUUUCACAGACUGUGUGGUCUCAUUGCAAGUUACUUCCUGCUGGGUUGUGAAGAGAUUCUGACAGCUUUCCCAUAUUUCUUACAUUCACAUGGCUAUGAACUGUGAUACAGUAAGAUAUGAGAAGCAAAUGAAGUACUUCCUGCAUCCUUUUUAUAAUCACAGGGUUUUACCCCAGUGUGAAUUCUCACAAAGAUAUUAAGGCUUGAGCAAUGAAAUAAGGUGACACCAUAUCCCUGGGAUACACAGGUUCUUCCUCCAAUGUGAGAUUUCAUGUUAACAUUAUGGCAUGUGAGAUAUUUAAAGGUUGCCAUACAUUCCCCUACAUUCCCAGGACAUUUGCAGUCUAAUUUUAUUUUAUUUUUUUUGAGACAGAGUCUUGCUUUGUCACCCAGGAUGGAGUGUAGGGGUCUUGGCUCACUUGCAGUCUAAUUUUAGAUAUGUAAAAUGAGCCUCGUGGAAUUAGUAAAAGCUUUCCCACGUGCCUUACAGCAGAAGUGUUCUCUACACUGUGAAUUUUUAUUUCUCAUGUAAGGUAUAAACAUUUAAUGAAAUCUCUCCACAUUACUAAUAAUGGAGCCUCAGUCCACUCUAAGUCACUAAAUGUUGGGUGAAGUCACAUUUAUGACUUUCAUAGUAAAAGAAACUUUCUCUUCUUGAUGGUCUUUGAUUUUCACAGGGCCUAUCACCACAAGAGUUGGAAGUGAGUAUUAAGAUCUGAUGAGCACUUACAGACUUCUUCACAUGUCCUACAUUCAUAGAACGUCUCUCCUGUGAUUGCUUUUGUGUUUACACUAACACUAAUGA